CUGGCGGUAUGCUUACACAUGCAAGUCGAACGGUCUUUUCGGAGAUAGUGGCGGACGGGUGAGUAACGCGUAAGAAUCUACCUUCAGGUUGGGGACAACCACUGGAAACGGUGGCUAAUACCCAAUGUGCCGAGAGGUGAAAGGCUUGCUGCCUGAAGAAGAGCUUGCGUCUGAUUAGCUAGUUGGUGGGGUAAGAGCCUACCAAGGCGACGAUCAGUAGCUGGUCUGAGAGGAUGAUCAGCCACACUGGGACUGAGACACGGCCCAGACUCCUACGGGAGGCAGCAGUGGGGAAUUUUCCGCAAUGGGCGAAAGCCUGACGGAGCAAUACCGCGUGAGGGAGGAGGGCUCUUGGGUUGUAAACCUCUUUUCUCAGGGAAGAACAAAAUGACGGUACCUGAGGAGUAAGCAUCGGCUAACUCCGUGCCAGCAGCCGCGGUAAUACGGAGGAUGCAAGCGUUAUCCGGAAUGAUUGGGCGUAAAGGGUCCGCAGGUGGCAUUGUAAGUCUGCUGUUAAAGAGUUUGGCUCAACCAAAUAAAAGCAGUGGAAACUACAAAGCUAGAGUGUGGUCGGGGCAGAGGGAAUUCCUGGUGUAGCGGUGAAAUGCGUAGAUAUCAGGAAGAACACCGGUGGCGAAGGCGCUCUGCUAGGCCAAGACUGACACUGAGGGACGAAAGCUAGGGGAGCGAAUGGGAUUAGAUACCCCAGUAGUCCUAGCCGUAACGAUGGAUACUAGGCGUAGCUCGUAUCGACCCGAGCUGUGCCGUAGCUAACGCGUUAAGUAUCCCGCCUGGGGAGUACGCAGGCAACUGUGAA
rnacentral:rRNA from 1 species